GAUGAACGCUGGCGGCGUGCUUAACACAUGCAAGUCGAACGGAAAGGCCCAAGCUUGCUUGGGUACUCGAGUGGCGAACGGGUGAGUAACACGUGGGUGAUCUGCCCUGCACUUCGGGAUAAGCCUGGGAAACUGGGUCUAAUACCGGAUAGGACGAUGGUUUGGAUGCCAUUGUGGAAAGUUUUUUCGGUGUGGGAUGAGCUCGCGGCCUAUCAGCUUGUUGGUGGGGUAAUGGCCUACCAAGGCGUUGACGGGUAGCCGGCCUGAGAGGGUGUACGGCCACAUUGGGACUGAGAUACGGCCCAGACUCCUACGGGGGGCAGCAGUGGGGAAUAUUGCACAAUGGGCGCAAGCCUGAUGCAGCGACGCCGCGUGGGGGAUGACGGCCUUCGGGUUGUAAACUCCUUUCGCUAGGGACGAAGCGUUUUUGUGACGGUACCUGGAGAAGAAGCACCGGCUAACUACGUG
rnacentral:rRNA from 1 species